GUGGAAUGACAUAUGCAGGAGAAAUAAGGUUCAACCCUGUGGAAAGUCCAUACAAAAAGAAGGAGAAAUAUUCAAAAAUGGUAAAACAUGUAGUCAACAAGUAAACGACAGUGCCAAUUGUUAUUAAAUAGGGGUUAAGUGAAGUUUCUCAUGUUUCUCAUGGGCAGGAAGGUGUCUUUGAAGGAGGAAGACAUAUGCGAUUUAGAACACCAACUAUCUGUGAGAGACAGAGAGAAGAAACGUCAUCACCAUGGCAUCCGUGCUACAAGGUGUGGAGGAAGACUUGGGUCUGGCCACUUCUUCUUCCUUUGCAGAUGAGGAGACUGAGGCCCCACAAAGGAAACAUUUCAUUCAAGCUGCCGACCUGCCAUCUGCAGAAGACAUGGGACACAAGUGGGUGUCCCAGGGUAGACAGGUUACUGUUGCAUUUUAAUUGGCUUCAUAUUGGCAGUUCAAGGUACUUUUUGAAAAUGAGUCUACCGACA
rnacentral:lncRNA from 1 species